rfam:Triticum aestivum genome assembly, contig: Triticum_aestivum_CS42_TGACv1_scaffold_061054_1DL
CUUCUACUCCCUCCGUCCGAAAAUACUUGUCGAAAAAAUAAAUGAAAAUGGAUGUAUCUAUAACUAAAAUACGUCUAGAUUCUCCGACAAGUAUUUCCGGACGGAGGGAGUACCAU